CCUACGGGAGGCAGCAGUGGGGAAUUUUGGACAAUGGGCGAAAGCCUGAUCCAGCAAUGCCGCGUGCAGGAAGAAGGCCUUCGGGUUGUAAACUGCUUUUGUACGGAACGAAACGGUCUGCUUUAAUACAGUGGGCUAAUGACGGUACCGUAAGAAUAAGCACCGGCUAACUACGUGCCAGCAGCCGCGGUAAUACGUAGGGUGCGAGCGUUAAUCGGAAUUACUGGGCGUAAAGCGUGCGCAGGCGGUUAUAUAAGACAGUUGUGAAAUCCCCGGGCUCAACCUGGGAAUUGCAUCUGUGACUGUAUAGCUAGAGUACGGUAGAGGGGGAUGGAAUUCCGCGUGUAGCAGUGAAAUGCGUAGAUAUGCGGAGGAACACCGAUGGCGAAGGCAAUCCCCUGGACCUGUACUGACGCUCAUGCACGAAAGCGUGGGGAGCAAACAGGAUUAGAUACCCUGGUAGUCCACGCCCUAAACGAUGUCAACUGGUUGUUGGGUGCGAUUAGUACUCAGUAACGAAGCUAACGCGUGAAGUUGACCGCCUGGGGAGUACGGCCGCGAAGGUUGAAACGUCAAAGGAAUUGACGG
rnacentral:rRNA from 1 species